rnacentral:rRNA from 1 species
AUGGAGCAACCAUUUAGAGGAAGGAGGAAGGACCCAACCCAAAAUGCCAUGGCAGUUGUGGACUUUGAUCUCAAGUUUACAUAUGUUCUAGCUGGGUGGGAAGGGUCGGCUAAUGAUGCCCUAGUGCUUGCAGAUGCCAUUGAGAUAAAUGAUGGCUUUGUUAUGCCUGAAGGUAAAUUAUACCUGGUAGAUGCAGGAUAUGACUACAGAACUGGCUUCCUGCCUCCCUACAGGGGGGAGUUGUUCAACCUGAGGCACUCCUCCCUUAGGGUCACAGUUGAGAGGGGAUUUGGGGCACUCAAGAACAGGUGGAGAAUGUUAGACAACAAGCCUUUUCAUCCAUACAAAACUCAAGUCAAGCUUGUCUUGGCAUGUUGCAUCCUCCACAACUGGAUCCUAGACUUUGGGCAGGAUAGUUUUGUCCCUGAUGAAAAUUGGGUGCCACCAAUUCAGCACAACCACACUGCUGCUGAUGACCUUCUGUCCCAAGACACCCAAGCCAUGGUUGAGACGAGGGAUGCUAUCUGCAAUGCUUUCCCUGGAUGUCUUAUGGUUCUGUUGAGGGGGCUGGUGGCCUGGAGGGCUUUAUCUAGGUUGUGUUUGAUGAGGCUCAGGUCCAGCAGCAGACAAAUGCCCUCCUUGCUGCUCAGAAGGCCACAGCUGCUGCUGUUGAAGCCCAGCCAGCACCACCAACAGCUCCAGGACCCAUGA